rnacentral:rRNA from 1 species
UCCGGUUGAUCCUGCCGGACCUGACUGCUAUCGGAUUGGUACUAAGCCAUGCGAGUCAUUGUAGCAAUACAAGGCGGACGGCUCAGUAACACGUAGUCAACCUAACUCGUGGACGUGGAUAACCUCGGGAAACUGAGAAUAAACCACGAUAGAUCAUAGUGCCUGGAAUGGCUUAUGGUCCAAACAGUUUACUGCCAUGGGAUGGGACUGCGGCCUAUCAGCUUGUUGGUGAGGUAAUGGCCCACCAAGGCGAUUACAGGUACGGGCUCUGAGAGGAGAAGCCCGGAGAUGGGUACUGAGACACGGACCCAGGCCCUAUGGGGCGCAGCAGGCGAGAAACCUUAGCAAUGUGCGAAAGCACGACUGGGUCAGUCCGAGUGAUUCCUGAUAAAGGAGUCUUUUGCCUGUCCUAAAAGCACAGGUGAAUAAGGGGUGGGCAAGUCUGGUGUCAGCCGCCGCGGUAAUACCAGCACCUCGAGUGGUCAGGACGUUUAUUGGGCCUAAAGCAUCCGUAGCCGGCUCUGCAAGUCUUCGGUUAAAUCCACCUGCUCAACAGAUGGGCCGCUGGAGAUACUACAGAGCUAGGGAGUGGGAGAGGCAGACGGUAUUCAGUGGGUAGGGGUAAAAUCCUCUGAUCCAUUGAGGACCACCAGUGGCGAAGGCGGUCUGCCAGAACACGUUCGACGGUGAGGGAUGAAAGCUGGGGGAGCAAACCGGAUUAGAUACCCGGGUAGUCCCAGCUGUAAACGAUGCAAACUCGGUGAUGCAUUGGCUUAUGGCCAAUGCAGUGCCGCAGGGAAGCCGUUAAGUUUGCCGCCUGGGAAGUACGGACGCAAGUCUGAAACUUAAAGGAAUUGGCGGGGGAGCACAAA